GUGGGGAAUAUUGGACAAUGGGCGCAAGCCUGAUCCAACCAUGCCGCGUGAGUGAUGAAGGCCCUAGGGUUGUAAAGCUCUUUCACCGGAGAAGAUAAUGACGGUAUCCGGAGAAGAAGCCCCGGCUAACUUCGUGCCAGCAGCCGCGGUAAUACGAAGGGGGCUAGCGUUGUUCGGAAUUACUGGGCGUAAAGCGCACGUAGGCGGACAUUUAAGUCAGGGGUGAAAUCCCGGGGCUCAACCCCGGAACUGCCUUUGAUACUGGGUGUCUGGAGUAUGGAAGAGGUAAGUGGAAUUCCGAGUGUAGAGGUGAAAUUCGUAGAUAUUCGGAGGAACACCAGUGGCGAAGGCGGCUUACUGGUCCAUUACUGACGCUGAGGUGCGAAAGCGUGGGGAGCAAACAGGAUUAGAAACCCGGGUAGUCC
rnacentral:rRNA from 1 species